UACGGAGGGGGCUAGCGUUGUUCGGAAUUACUGGGCGUAAGGCGAGUGUAGGCGGUCUUGUAAGUCGGGUGUGAAAGCCCCGGGCUCAACCUGGGAAUUGCGAUGGAGACUGCAAGGCUGGAGUCUGGCAGAGGGGGGUAGAAUUCCACGUGUAGCAGUGAAAUGCGUAGAGAUGUGGAGGAACACCGAUGGCGAAGGCAGCCCCCUGGGUCAAGACUGACGCUCAUGCACGAAAGCGUGGGGAGCAAACAGG
rnacentral:rRNA from 1 species